AAGCAUGUCGUGCUUAGAUUUGUUUUUUCGACAUUUGUUUGUUUUCGUCGUCAAUUUUUGUAGGCUCGGCAUAGGUGAGGAAACAUUACCUCACUGGGAACCUUUAACUUAUCUUAACGGAGAAUUUCAGCUUCAGGACAAUCAGCUAAAGGAGAAGCCGCUGUCAUGAGAUAGCAGUUGCAGCGGAGACAUCGGUAGCUUUACUACCUAAAGUAGCACUUAUUUGUACGACAGGUGCUGAUUCUAACUUGCGUAUAUUGAACAGUGAUCUGAGUCGUGUUGGCUGUAUAGUGUCCGCGAAGUAGCACUCGGACGAGACGGAUAAGAUGAAUAAUUCUAAGAUGUCCAGAAUAGUGCACUCGUACAAAGUGGAUCAAAAAACUUUCGUGACGAUUGAGAGUAACAAAUAUCCGCUCAAUAACACGGACUGGCGUCUAAAGCUCGAUUCAGACGAUACAUCAGCUCCCGUCAACAACAAAGAACAUCAUCACGCCACCGCUUCGUCAGGAGAAGCUAACUGCAUUUCUCGUGCAUCCGUUCACACGUUCCGUACGUCAAAACGUACCGUGCCGUUGAUGUUGUGUGUGACUGUCUCCAUUUAACUGUAUUAAAUGGAGUAGCAUUAGCGGAUGGCGAGGUGGUGUUGAUACUUAUUUGACAAAUAAUAAUCCGGCAGAGCCUAAGUCCAACACGAAUGUUCAGGAUAGCGGUAUGCAAUCAGGAUCGAUGACAAAAACUGUAAAUUGACAAUGAGAUCAAAGAAAAUAUAUAACCAAUGCACAUCUAUAGCGGGUCGACCUGCUGAUGAAAGUUUGAAUCGAAGCGAAGCUUUAUUAUGCGCAACACCAAUAUGGUCCAUCUAAUAUGCAUGCUGGCAAAGAUCGGAUAUCGUUACGACAUGACCCAUAGUGUGACGAUGGAUUCAGGGAGGGAGUUCCUGUGGACAUGUUCCGGCUGCCCAUGGGAAAAUCAUUACACCUGAUUAAUGUUUCUUCAACUAUGCCGCCAAAAGUGGAAUGAAAAUAAUCCGUAAUCAGGACCAACCUGCAAAAUUCUACAAUUGUAUCAUUCGAAUAGU